CAAGCCUUAAACACUAAAGAAUUGUGUAUUUUUUAUUGUAUAGAGAGUUUUUCGAAGCCGAAAAUGGGCAUCGCUUCUCGGCCUUUUGGCUAAGAUCAAAGUGUAGUAUCUUGCCACUGGGUCGCGGAAUUUUUUCAUUAUGGAUGACACAACCCUUAAUCUAAUGGAAAGAACAAUCAAGGUUUCUUUACAGGGCACUAGGCAGGCAGUUUCCAGUUUCGGCAGAAAAGAGUUGCUCCGCUUCGUCCGUGCCAUAGACGAUAAAGUUAAAGUUUUGGCUGUGUGGCAAAUGGAGCGUGCCAAUACCUGGACUACGGCAAAGUGAUUUCCCCCCGAGACGACCAUGGCCUGCCCCCGGACUUUCUAUAAACUAUCAAGGAGAUUUUCUCCCGGUAACGUGAGUUUAAAUGUGUUUUUGUGUGUUUUUUGUUUAAAAUUUCAUUUAAAGUUUUUAUGUUCUGUUUGCAUGUUAAUAUUAGUGUAUUGUGAUGUUUUUUCUGUUUUAUGUUUAAGUUAUAUUU